UCAUUCUCAACUGUGGCCCUCUUCAACUAGAUGAAGACCCCCACUCCUAGUCCAGCUGCCCUGUGGUGCUGCUUUUAUCCGCACCAGGCCUGGCAUCCUUUCUGCACACUCGCUGCUCUCUGACCUCAUUCUGCCUGUUCUGGCUUCACUGUAUCUGCCUUAGUGGUGACAGCCGAAGAGAUCCCAUCCUGCUCUCCAGUUUGAGACAGAGUAUCUUCUAAGAGUGACUCUAGCAAGAUAGCAGAGCAGGAGCAAAGGGAGUGGCUGGGAAAAGAGAAUGGUGUGAUGCUGUGAGCCAAGCCCCAGCAGGGCCAUCGUGAUCCUGAGAUCUGCCAAGGGCCCACACCUGCUGGCACCAUUGAAGCCACCAAAGCCUGAGUCCAAGGCUGGCAUCUAUGAAUAGGACCUUAUUUUAAAAUACGGUCUUUGCAAUUGUAACUAAGACAUAAGUUAAGGGCCUCGCUGGCAUCACUGCUCUGGAGCUCACUGUGGAGGAAAAUCACAGGAAGGAAUGGACAGGAGCAGGGAGCUGGACACUUCAGACUGGGCCGGGGUUCAGAUUGGCAGCAUGGUCUUCAGAUGGGCGGCACUGGUCUCAACUCAGAAAAGAGAAAUUUCCAUUUUGUUCCAGUGUGAUCUCUGCCUCCUUUGGCCUUGACUGUGAACAGCAAUCUCAGGUCUGGAUGAAUCUCGUUGGUGGUUCAUAGCAAAGCCUUUGACUUUAGUCUUCUCCCCAACAGUCUGACUGUGAUGCUAACCAUCAAACCAUGCUGCUCCUCACCCUCUCUUCUUACUGUCUGGUUCUUCUGUUCCUCAUCCCUGGUCUCUCUGUGGAGCAACUAGGACUCUGAUUCAUCAAGAGAUCGGUUAAAAUUGGGAAACGCCUCUUUGUCUCAGCUUUGUGUCCUGUUCAGGGAAGAGAUGUAUGUUAACAUUAGGAAAGAACUGAUGGGAUUAGAAUUCUGGGAAUAAAAA